UUGUCUUCUGCCUCAACGGAGGAGCAGUAAGCUGGAAAAGUGCUAAGCAAAGCACCAUUGCGGAUUCUACAACUGAAGCGGAGUACAUUGCUGCACAUGAAGCAGCAAAGGAAGCUAUAUGGCUAAGGAAGUUCAUAGGAGAACUUGGUGUAGUCCCCUCCAUUAAAGGACCAAUAGCCCUGUAUUGUGAUAAUAACGGAGCUAUUGCACAGGCAAAAGAGCCUAGACACCACCAGAGAGUCAAGCAUGUACUUCGUAGAUUCCACCUUCUACGAGAGUUCGUUGAAAGAAAAGAAGUCGAGAUAAGCAAAAUUGGAACUGAUGACAACAUAUCAGAUCCAUUAACUAAACCUCUGCCGCAGGCGAAGCACAACUCGCACACUGCAGCUAUGGGAAUCAAGCAUAUUGGAGAAUGGCUUUGAUGUCUCUGUUUAAUGUUUUAAAGUUUUAGAGUUUAAAUCUUUGUAAAACAUUAUUGGUUAAUCAUUCACAAUAAAUGAAAUGAAUUCAUUUUUCCAUUUAAUUUGUGGUUUAUUAAAUGAUGAGUCCCUUCAAUUUGACGAUAUAUUCAAGAUAGACUGUCAGGACCAGUCCUGUGACUAAGAAAUGUCUAUCAAGUGAACUUGAAUGUCAAAGGUUGAAAAUGGUCCGUAAUCGGAGUUUUCUAUAAAAUUGGACGCAUAGAAAACGUUAGACGAUUAGAAUGCAAGAUGACUAGUAGUUCUGUUUCUUGAACUAUGUGGACAUGGCAAUGUCAUAAUCAUUUGCAUAGAUACUUACUUUGGGAAUACUAGUAUCGGACAAGACCUAUGAAACUUUACUGUAAGAGAUGAAAAUCUGUCAUGAGUAAAUUUCAUUAAAUUAUUAAACACUAAAUCCUCAAUACCUGAGUGAUUUGAGAUUACUUGUUUGAGAACUGGUUGCUUUGACGUUGACCAACCGUCGCACCGUAAAAGGAGGCUAUAAAGGCAACGCUCAGGUAAUCACCUAUCAAACGAAGUCUAAUCUCAAGAUCGCAAGAUUGGGAUUGUCCUCCCAUAAAUCGGGAUGAGAUGCUUAAAAGUUGUACAAGGCCACUCGGAGAGCUAGAAACUGUGAAAUGCAUGGCCGUGCUCGGAUGAAUCAUAGGCUAUGAUUAUCUGUUUAUUUGAUCAGUUGAACUCUGAAACCGAGGAACACCUCUGGACGUAAUAAGGAUGACAACUCUUACCUUAUGUUCAAGAGCAAGCAUCGAGCGACAAAGGAAUUAGGAAAUGCACACUUGUCCCUAAGGACAAGUUGGAGACUGAAGGAAAUAAUGCCCUUGGUCCAAGUAUGCAUUCUAUGUUAAGUCUAAUAAAUGCGGUUCAGUAUUAAUUAACAAGUUAAUAAUUCAGUGAGAUCAAGUGAGCUGAAUGCCUAGCUAGAGGCCGCUUCAGUUCAAGUGGAAUUAAUGAUAUUAAUCCACAGCUUACUCUUGACUGAACCCGUAGGGUCACACAAAUAGUACGUAAACGGAUCAAGUAUUUAAUGACAUUAAAUACUCCAUCUAUGAAUAUUCGGAACCGACGGAUCUUGGUUUCAGUGGGAGCUAAGAUCGUCACAGGCAAGAAAUGAAUACUCCGGAAACGAUGAUAUUGCCGGAAACGGAAAUAUGGAUCGUAUCGGAAAUAUAAAUAUUAUCCAAGUCGUAGAUGUUGUCGGAAACGGAAACAUGGUACGUAUCGGAAAAUAUUAUCGGAAAUGGAAAUAUUGCCAGAAUCGGAAAUAUUGCCGGAAACGGAAAUAUUGUCAGAAUCGGAAAUAUUACCGGAAUCGGAAAAUAAUUCCGGAAACGGAAAUAUUAAAUAUUUGUUCGAAACGGAAAUUAAUUCCGGAAUCGGAAAUAUUAAAUAUUGUUCGUAUCGGAAAUGAAUUCCGGAAUCGGAAAAUUUAAUCGGAAGCGCAUCGUACGAAUAAGCAUCGGACGAGGCCUGCCGGACGAGGCCCAGCACGAAGCCAGGCCAUCGCCCAGCAAGCCAAGCGCGCCGCACAAACAGCCACGCCAGGCCCAGCGCAAGGCCAGGCCCAGCAGGCUGCGCAGCGCGCACAGCGCGCACAGCACGCGCAGCGCGCAGCGCGCGCGGGCGCUGCGUGGGCUGCUGCUCGCGCGCACGCAUGGGGGCCCAUCGUGGCUGCCGUGCGUGUGUGUGCAAGUGUUUGUGUUCGUGCACGUUUCCUAAAACAUGCAGAGUUCGGUUACUGAUUAAAUUCCUAAUUCUAUUUGAUAAAUUAAUUAAAUUAGAGUUCUUGUAGGAUUCUAGGUUUAAUUAAUUUGUAUCUGAAUAGGAUUUCGAUUCCCUUUCCAUACCCCUAUAAAUAUGAGGCUAGGGCUCACAAUUUAUAAAGAAGUUUUAAAAGUAUUCAAAAGUGAGUUUUUGAGAGAAAAUUAAAACACACAUCUUGCUCAUAAAAGUGCCGAAAUUUUCUAGUACCUUAAGGGCGAUUCUAGUUGGUCAAUCUUAAGGCGGAUCCGGACAUGCUGUGGACUAUCUACGGAGGGACGACACUUGGAGUCCUAAAGACUUGUUCUUGUUCGGUUCGGGCGCAGCUAGGGAGGGCACGCAACAAAGAGUAUGCAUCUAAAUUAUGCUAUAUGAUUAUGUGUAAAUAAUAUGUUGUCCUGGGUUAAUGGUUGUUUCCGCAUGAUCUAUGUAAUGUCAUAUGUAUCAUAACCUAACAGUUAUAACUUUAUGAAUAAAAUGCAUGUUGGAGCUUCAAGGUAGUAUAAUCAGUAGUCAUGAGACUCUAAAACUCGCAACUGUAUGUCUGUAUACACUACUCAAUGAAUGGUGCUUUUAAACUUGUUUAAAAUGUUAAAUAAAUGCCCAAUGACAUCCCAAUAAAAGCCAAGGAACUCCUUAGUGGCUAUAAAUUUAUUGGUUUGGAGUAAAUUAUCUACGCACUUAACCAUAUGAUCCGCAUAAAAAAAUUGUUAAAAUCAUGUUCGUGCUAAUACAACUUUCGUAUCAAGAGGGUUGACGUGUUAACUUCUCGCACAAUAUGAUGAUGCCAUGCUAGUAUGUCAUAAGAUCUGCAUGAUUAAAGUACCAUCGCUUGUCUAAAUGCAUGUAUUCCUUUUAAGUAUCACGAUCGAAAAUUAAUCUCUUACCGGUCAAAUUUCUUUACCGUCAUUUGAGGUGCAUAUAAUAGACAAAUAUUAUACUAAUAGCUAUGAGGAUGUUGUGCAAUCUCACAUAUACAUUUGAUUUGGUUAACUAUGAUUAUCACCUUAUAUUCUCUACAACAAGAUUGCAGGUGCUAAAUAGCCGGUAUGUUUGAUAUAAGUAAAAGGCCGACAUCGCAUAUCAAAGGUGAAAUAUGGCAACCAAUAAAAUGUAUGGAUGUGAUCAGUAGCUUUGGGGAAAAUAAAUGCCGUAAGGGCACUCCACUGUGAAGCGUAGCAGUCCAUAAAGAAUGGAUGUGAUCAGUAGCUUUGGGGAAAAUAAAUGCCGUUAAGGGCACUCCAUUGUGAAUCGUAGCAAUCCAACGAAAUGUAUGGAUGUGAUCAGUAGCUUUGGGGAAAAUAAAUGCCGUAGGGGCACUCCACUGUGAAGCGUAGCAGUCCAUAAGGAAUGGAUGUGAUCAGUAUCUUUGGGGAAAAUAAAUGCCGUUAAGGGCACUCCAUUGUGAAUCGUAGCAAUCCAACGAAAUGUAUGGAUGUGAUCAGUAGCUUUGGGGAAAAUAAAUGCCGUAGGGGCACUCCACUGUGAAGCGUAGCAGUCCAUAAGGAAUGGAUGUGAUCAGUAGCUUGGGGAAAAUAAAUGCUGUUAAGGGCACUCCAUUGUGAAUCGUAGCAAUCCAACGAAAUGUAUGGAUGUGAUUAGUAGCUUUGGGGAAAAUAAAUGCCGUAGGGGCACUCCACUGUGAAGCGUAGCAGUCCAUAAUAAAACAUUGAUAAAAUACAAACGACAAGGCAUAUCAAUAGAAAAAUGGGCUAUUUGUCCUAAAAAAUCAAGGAGGUUAGUCGUCCUAAAUAUUAAAUAGGCUAGUCGUCCUAAAAAAUCAAGGGGGCUAGUCGUCCUAAAUAUUAAAUAGGCUAGUCGUCCUAAAAAAAGGGGGGGGGGGGGGGGCUAGUCGUCCUAAAUAUUAAAUAGGCUAGUCGUCCUAAAAAAUCAAAGGGGCUAGUCGUCCUAAAAAAAAUCAAUGGGGCUAGUCGUCCUAAAAAAUCAAGGGGGCUAGUCGUCCUAAAUAUUAAAUAGGCUAGUCGUCCUAAAAAAUCAAGGGGGCUAGUCGUCCUAAAUAUUAAAUAGGCUAGUCGUCCUAAAAAAAUCAAAGGGGCUAGUCGUCCUAAAAAAAAUCAAUGGGGCUAGUCGUCCUAAAAGAUCAAGGGGGCUAGUCGUCCUAAAUAUUAAAUAGGCUAGUCGUCCUAAAAAAUCAAGGGGGCUAGUCGUCCUAAAUAUUAAAUAGGCUAGUCGUCCUAAAAAAUCAAGGUGGCUAGUCGUCCUAAAAAACCAAAGGGGCAAGCAAAAUAGAUUAUUAGUUUUAUCUGCAUAUCUUCGACUCAUGAGCAGAAUCAAGAUAUCCGCCAAUUCUGCGAACCUCUGCAGAUAAGGGGGCUAGUUGUACGGGGUGAUUACUUUUUCAGAGCAAGCACAACAGUCUAAGACGGUUGUACUUACUCUGAGGGGGCUAGUUGUACGGGAUACUCCCGUAGGCCCAAUUCUAUACCAGAAUAUCAUAUUCUAGAUUAUGGGCCCAAAGUGCAAUAAAGGUCAAGGCCUAAUCUAUGACCUAAUAAUCCAUCAAACCCCUAUAAAUACUCAUUUAUGGGGGAAGGUAAACUUAACUUCUCUACACUCUCUACUCCCUCCUCUCUGUACUCCAUCUCUUUAUGAUAUAUUACUAAUGUUGGGCGUCGGAGGCUCCGAUCCGGGGAACCUCCCUCGGGUUCGGGGUUUACUUUGCAGGAAAUCACCUCCACAUUCAAGAUACGAAGAUCCGACCACACCACCGAUUCCAAUACCGGAACAACAAGUUACCAAUUUAUGUACUUCAAAUAAAUCGAUAAAAUCAUAAAGGGGUAAUAAACCCAUAACUAAGGAUGGAAAUAUUCAGUAGAUGAUCCAUUAAUUCGGUCAUCCGUUAUAAUUAAACGGGUGAAAACACAAAUUAAAUGGAUGAAAAGCGGGUGAUGAAUGCGGGUCGGAUGCGGUUAUUACCCAUUUAUUAAUCUAUUAUUCAUAAAGUUAGUGCUUGUGUUUUUUUGUUUGGUUAUAAGUUAUGCGUGUUAAAAAGUAAUUACGUGUUUCGAAAAUAAAUGUAUGUGUAAAUAAUUAACCUUUUUCUAUUGGUUAGUUAUUGUUCAUAUCAUUAGGUAGUAAAGUUUUAAUGGUUAAUAAUUUUCACUCGAAUGUCACCCGAUCCACUCGGUUCACCCGCGGGUGAUGGAUGAACAAAAUGCGAGUGACGGAUGGACCAAAUAGAUACGACAAGAGGCAUGCUACAUCGCUGUCCACCAGCGAUAAAAAAGACCCAUACCCACCUUAAAAAAAAUAUAAAAAAAAAAAAAAUGGAAAGAUGGUCCACACUUAAAUAAAUGUGUACAAGUGUUGCUAACUUCUUAUAUACUGUCAUCGGUAAUAUAAGUAUUGUCAUUGUUAUAUAUAUACUGUCAUUGUUGUAUUAAAAUACUGUCACAAUCACCCAAAAAAAGAAAAUUAUGUAUACAAGUGUAAUGAAAUAGAAAAAGUAAAGGGGUCACUUAAAUGAAUGGACAGAAGUGUUGCAUAUUAAAUGAAUAGAUAAAAAUAUGUAUACAAGUGUUAUAUAAGUAUUAUCAUCGUUUACAUAAAUACUGUCAUUGUUGUAUUAAAAUAUUGUCAUUGUUGUAUCAAUUACUGUCAUAUUACCGAUAUUUAGUAAUUUGUUUGACUUUUCAACUCAUGUAGCGAAAAUACCAUUUUGCCCUGGGUAUGGUCUCUUUUUGUCGCUGUCCACCAACGAUGUAGCACUCCUCGAUACGACAAUGCUCUACCAGAUCUAAAUUACACCCAUUUCCAUCCCUACCCAUAGGGUCAUAACGUAUUCCUCCGGGCUCCAGCAGCCGAGUUUUUAAACUACGCAUUUUUUUUUAGAAGUGCCCGUAUUUUAGACCUGAUCAAGACGAGCCCGACCCGCCCGAAUUUUUUACGAGUUUGGGUAGAAUUUUCCAUCCCGGCCCGAAAAUUUAGUUUUUUUGGCCGGGUUUGGGAAACACAAAAAUACACCUUUUUAGUUAUAAAUUGGCCCGAAAGCCCGGUAUUUCAGGCCUGAAAUUAGCAGUUUUGGGCCCGAAUCUUAACCCGGCCCGACAUAGCGGACUGUUUUAUGCAUAGGCCCGGCCCGAAGCCCGACCCGGCGUUUGAUCAGGUCUAUCGUAUUUUAUAAGCGAAAGGACGAUUUUGCCAUUCUUAAACAAACCCCCAACCCAAUCACUACCACGGCACCACCCCCACCCCCACCCCCCAUCUCAUCGCAACCACCCCUAAACAUUGUCACCAAGGAAAACAAGAGUAAAUAGAUCUGCAGGUUCCUAAACUUUGCCAAAAGGAGCAGUUAGGUCCCUCAAGUUUCAAAAGGAGCAUUUAGGUCCCUGCGUUUGGAUGGAAUCCGCUGCUUUUUGUUUUCCGUCACUAACGUCCGUUAAAAUGCAUUUAAAUUAAAAGGAAACUAAAUAAAAGGCACUAAACGACAAAAAAACAGUUACAUUUACCAUUUACCAAUAAUUAAAUAAAGGGAAAUUCAUUUCAGUUAGCUUUUUACAAAAAUAUAGCUGUUAAGGCUCUCAAAAAACAGAGUAUUUAACAUUUCAUGCACAUCAAAACAACAACAAAACACUUAAAAAAAAAAUUCUUUCUUCUCCAUCUUCUGCUCUGUGUUUUUUCUCUGUUGCUCCACCAUAGCUGACUCUUCUCAACAUAAAAAGAAUGAUGAACAGGGCUAUCUCUUUGUUCAACAAUGGUGAUAAUGAACACCCUAAGAGGUGCUACUGUGGAUUCACAGUAUCCAUUCAAAAGGCAUGGACAAAAGAAAAUCCUGGAAGGAGGUUCAUUGCUUGUCCAGAUUAUGAUGUUGAAACAAACAGAAGGGGUUGCAUUUUUUUUAGAUGGAUUGAUGAACAAGAACCAACAACUUGGCAAACAAUUGUCAUACUAGGGUUAAUGCAAGAUAAACAAAGCCUUGCUGCUGAAGUUGAUAGUUUUAGGACAAAACUUAGUGAAGCUAACAAUUAUGCAAGGAAGAGGGAGGCAGACUAUGUGAUGAGCAAGAUGAGAAGACCUAUUAGUGUGAAAUGUGAAGUGUGGGUUGUAAUCCUAGUGGUUCUGUUUUUUUUUAUCUGGUUUGUUUUAAGUUAAGUGGGUUAAGUGGGUAGGUAAAAUGUAAUGAUCUGCACUAAUGAAAUGUAAUGAAGACUUUAAAUUCAAUAAAAUCUAACCUCAUGGUCUUUUUUCUAA